rnacentral:lncRNA from 1 species
GGGGGUCCGAGAAUAAGUCUUGAGAGUAGAAAAAUUGAGUGGAAAGUUAGGAAAAAAAUAGAGAAAAAAUAUUAGAGCUUUAGGGACCCAAAGGGAAGGAGAAAAGUCGGUUCGCUCUACGGACUACGACGGAAGAAGGAGAGGUCAUCAACCAUCUUUUUGAUGAAGUUGAGCUGAUCAACUUUAGAUCCUUCUUACAGUUUUUAUUUUAUUUUAAUU